UGUUCUGUGGCUUAGUUGGUUAAAGCGCUGGACUAAUGAUACGGAGUCGUGGGUUCGAAUCCCACCAAACAA
rfam:Aedes albopictus isolate Foshan contig72821, whole genome shotgun sequence.